GACGAACGCUGGCGGCGUGCUUAACACAUGCAAGUCGAACGGAAAGGCCCUGCUUUUGUGGGGUGCUCGAGUGGCGAACGGGUGAGUAACACGUGAGUAACAUGCCCUUGACUUUGGGAUAACUUCAGGAAACUGGGGCUAAUACCGGAUAGGAGCUCCUGCUGCAUGGUGGGGGUUGGAAAGUUUCGGCGGUUGGGGAUGGACUCGCGGCUUAUCAGCUUGUUGGUGGGGUAGUGGCUUACCAAGGCUUUGACGGGUAGCCGGCCUGAGAGGGUGACCGGCCACAUUGGGACUGCGCUACGGCCCAGACUCCUACGGGACGCAGCAGUGGGGAAUAUUGCACAACGGGCGGGAGCCUGAUGUAGCAACGCCGCGUGCGGGAUGACGGCCUUCGGGUUGUAAACCGAUUUCGCCUGUGACGAAGCGUGAGUGACGGUACUGGGUAAAGAAGCACCGGCUAACUACGUG
rnacentral:rRNA from 1 species